GACGAACGCUGGCGGCGUGCUUAACACAUGCAAGUCGAGCGAUGAAACACCUUCGGGUGCGGAUUAGCGGCGAACGGGUGAGGAACACGUGAGGAAUCUGCCUUCCACUCUGGGAUAACUCCGGGAAACCGGGGCUAAUACCGGAUACUUUCAACUGGCGGCAUCGCCGGUUGAAGAAAGUUUUUCGGUGGGAGAUGACCUCGCGGCCUAUCAGCUUGUUGGUGAGGUAAAGGCUCACCAAGGCGACGACGGGUAGCCGGCCUGAGAGGGCGACCGGCCACACUGGGACUGAGACACGGCCCAGACUCCUACGGGAGGCAGCAGUGGGGAAUAUUGGGCAAUGGAGGAAACUCUGACCCAGCGACGCCGCGUGAGGGAUGAAGGCCUUCGGGUUGUAAACCUCUUUCAGCAGGGAAUAAGCGAAAGUGAAGGUACCUGCAGAAGAAGCACCGGCUAACUAUGUGCCAGCAGCCGCGGUAA
rnacentral:rRNA from 1 species